rnacentral:rRNA from 1 species
CGGCAGGCUUACACAUGCAAGUCGAGGGGUACGACUCCGUCUUCGGAUGGAGGUCGACGACCGGCGCACGGGUGAGUAACGCGUAUGCAACCUACCUCUUACAGGAGGAUAGGCCAGAGAAAUUUGGAUUAAUACUCCAUAGUACUAAUGAAUCACCUGGUUUAUUAGUUAAAACUCCGGUGGUAAAAGAUGGGCAUGCGUGUCAUUAGCUAGUUGGUAAGGUAACGGCUUACCAAGGCGAAGAUGACUAGGGGUUCUGAGAGGAAGAUCCCCCACACUGGUACUGAGACACGGACCAGACUCCUACGGGAGGCAGCAGUGAGGAAUAUUGGUCAAUGGGUGAGAGCCUGAACCAGCCAUGUCGCGUGAAGGAAGACUGCCCUAUGGGCUGUAAACUUCUUUUCUGCAGGAAGAAAUCACUCUACGUGUAGGGUGUUGCCGGUACUGCAGGAAUAAGCAUCGGCUAACUCCGUGCCAGCAGCCGCGGUAAUACGGAGGAUGCAAGCGUUAUCCGGAUUUAUCGGGUUUAACGGGUGCGUAGGCCGGCUUGUAAGUCACUGGUGAAACUGCUGUGGCUUAACCAUAGAACUGCCAUUGACACUGCCAGUCUUGAGUACCGUCGACGUGGGCGCAAUGAGUAAUGUACCGGUGAAAUGCCUCAAUUUAACUCAGAACUCCGAUU